UACGUAGGGUGCGAGCGUUAAUCGGAAUUACUGGGCGUAAAGCGUGCGCAGGCGGUUGUGCAAGACAGAUGUGAAAUCCCCGGGCUUAACCUGGGAACUGCAUUUGUGACUGCACAGCUGGAGUGCGGCAGAGGGGAUGGAAUUCCGCGUGUAGCAGUGAAAUGCGUAGAUAUGCGGAGGAACACCGAUGGCGAAGGCAAUCCCCUGGGCCUGCACUGACGCUCAUGCACGAAAGCGUGGGGAGCAAACAGG
rnacentral:rRNA from 1 species